GACGAACGCUGGCGGCGUGCUUAACACAUGCAAGUCGAACGAUGAAGCCGGAGCUUGCUCUGGUGAAUUAGUGGCGAACGGGUGAGUAACACGUGAGUAACCUGCCCUUGACUCUGGGAUAACUGCGGGAAACCGUAGCUAAUACCGGAUACGACCCUCGGAGGCAUCUCCUGGGGGUGGAAAGAAUUUCGGUCAAGGAUGGACUCGCGACCUAUCAGCUAGUUGGUGAGGUAAAGGCUCACCAAGGCGACGACGGGUAGCCGGCCUGAGAGGGUGACCGGCCACACUGGGACUGAGACACGGCCCAGACUCCUACGGGAGGCAGCAGUGGGGAAUAUUGCACAAUGGGCGCAAGCCUGAUGCAGCAACGCCGCGUGAGGGAUGACGGCCUUCGGGUUGUAAACCUCUUUUAGCAGGGAAGAAGCGAAAGUGACGGUACCUGCAGAAAAAGCACCGGCUAACUACGUGCCAGCCGCCGCGGUAA
rnacentral:rRNA from 1 species